GCUGGGUGUGGUGGUGCACGCCUGUAAUCCCAGGAGCUUGGGAGGCUGAGGCAGGAGAAUUUCAAGUUCAAAGCCAGCCUCUGCAACAUAGUGAGACCCUGUCUCUA
rnacentral:sRNA from 1 species